rnacentral:rRNA from 1 species
GGCUAACUUCGUGCCAGCAGCCGCGGUAAUACGAAGGGAGCUAGCGUUACUCGGAAUUAUUGGGCGUAAAGCGUACGUAGGCGGCUUAGUAAGUUGGGAGUGAAAUCCUUGGGCUCAACCCAAGAAUUGCUUUCAAAACUACUAGGCUAGAGUAUCAGAGGGGAUGGCGGAAUUCCUAGUGUAGAGGUGAAAUUCGUAGAUAUUAGGAGGAACACCGGUGGCGAAAGCGGCCAUCUGGCUGAUUACUGACGCUGUUGUACGAAAGCGUGGGGAGCAAACAGGAUUAGAUACCCUGGUAGUCCAC